ACCUUGACAGAUUUAAAUCGACAGGUUUAAUCAUGUCCAAAGAAACCAAUGUGUCCAUGGAUGUUCUAGAAAACCAGUCAUCACUACUGGAUUCUGAAUCCGAUUCCUCGGGUCUCCAGGAAAGAGCGGUAUGGGGUCGGAAAAUAGAGUACCUUCUGUCCCUCUUUGGAUACAGUGUUGGACUCGGCAAUAUCUGGAGGUUUCCCUAUCUUUGCAUGAGAAAUGGAGGAGGUGCAUUUUUGAUUCCGUUCUUCAUCCUGCUGAUAUUUUGUGGAGUUCCUCUCUAUUUCUUGGAGGUAUCCCUGGGACAGUUUACUGGAAAGAGUCCUGUGAUAGUUUGGUCAAUCUCCCCUCUAUUCAAAGGACUGGGCUGGCUAAUGAUGACAAUCUCCUUCGUGUUGGCCUGGUAUUACAACACUGUGAUAGCUUGGGUCAUUUAUUAUUUUGUCCAUGCAUUCCUUCCAAAGAUUCCAUGGUCAACGUGUGAUAACUGGUGGAACACGGAUUACUGCAUCGUUAGUCAUAAGGACAGACUGACACUGAAUAAAACCGGUGUCAACCAGAACCUUACAGGGCUUCUGUUUAAUGAGACUGAUGCUUCCUAUCAAUAUAACAGUACACAUGAUAAUCACAGUUUGACAUAUAACACGGCAGCUCAUGAAUUUUGGCAGUACGUCACUACCAUAGUCUGUCCCAAGAUAUUUAUGCAGCCCAUUUGGCCGAUUUUUAAUAAAAAUACACAUACCUGUAAAAGAAGUGCAAUUGAAAUCGAUGAAAUGGAAAAUUUCCAAGAUAUCUUCAUUGACGCAUUGUCAUUUUUCAUAUGAAAAAAUUCACAGGAACGAAAACAAUUUUUUGCGGACAUUUAUUAUUGGAAAUGUUCAAAUCAUUCCUGUGUAUUUUUUUAAAGUUAUCAUCGGGGUCUUCUCCAAUACAAAAUCCCCUAAACAUCACAUUUUUAGCUGUGUAUUGAAACCUGAUAAACUAAAGGGGCGGUUCAACGGAGAACUCUUGGGAAUUUUACAUCCUUUUGAAUGAACAUCAUUUGAAUCCUGAUGUAUUUAUGAAUAUCGAGUAAUCAUGCAAAACGUGAAUCAAAGAUAUCUUGGGACAGAGUAUAAUCAUAAAUUACUGUUCUUUUUUUAAACAAUCUUUAUUUCAUUUUCAGUCGACAUAUUCUUCUCAUAACACUCUCGGAAUAAAUCCUGAUCACGGCACCAAAAUCUCACUUCAAGACGAGAAUAGUUCCUGAUAAACAUGUGAUUUAAAAAAUUACACAAUAUUUCUUAUUGUUCUUUGAAUAGGUUUAAUGUUCUGAGGCGUUCCGAGGGCUUAGAACACCCUGGUUCUGUUCAGUGGCAUCUAGUGUUGGUUUUAUUUGCCUCCUGGGUUUUAACAUUCUGCGUUCUUAUCAAAGGAGUCCGUUCAAUUGGAAAGGUUGUAUACGUGACGGUCAUUUUUCCAUACAUUCUCCUGACCGUCAUUCUUAUACGAGGUCUGACGCUAGAUGGCGCUAUAGAUGGGAUAAUUUUCUACCUGAAACCGGACUUUACUAAAGUUUUUAAUUUUCAAGUUUGGAUGGAGGCGGGAAUGCAGGUCUUUUAUUCACUUGGCCCGGCCUGGGGUGGUCUCAUUACUAUGUCAAGUUACAAUAGAUUCAACAACAAGUGUAUGAAAGACGCUUGGUAUGGUACAUUAGCUGAUGGCCUGACGAGUUUUUACGCUGGAUUUGUUGUCUUUUCCAUUCUGGGUUUUAUGGCUAAAGAUGUUGGCUUGACUAUGGAAGAAAUUUCAAAGUCGGCUUCUGGACCGGGUCUAGUAUUUGUGGCUUAUCCGGAAGCACUGACCAAACUCCCGAUGCCCCACCUGUGGGGAGUGCUGUUUUUCCUUAUGUUGAUUACAGUUGGCGUGGACAGUCAGUUUGUAAUGUUUGAGACCGUUUCUAGUGGCCUUGCUGACAGAUUUCCAAAGUUACUGAAUUCCCGCAAAGUUUUGACAACGGCUUGUUUGUGUGUUUUUCUCUUUGUUUUCGGAAUUCCCUUCACAACUAACGGAGGGGUAUACCUUUUUCAGCUGAUAGAUUGGUACGCUUCAAGUUUCUGCAUUACGUUUGGUUCUUUCUUGGAAUGUAUCAUAAUAUCCUGGAUCUAUGGCGCAGAACGUUACAGCCGUGAUAUAGAGAUGAUGAUAGGGAGACCUAUACCUAUCCUCAUGCGAAUCAGCUGGUGUGUAGUGACUCCAAUAGUCAUGUUGACCCUUUUCCUGGGAUCAGUGGCUAUAUACGAGCCUCCACACUCGGCAAGCUACACAUAUCCGGACUUUGCUAUUGGUAUAGGACUGUUCUUUGCCAUACUGCCUCUGUUACCAAUACCUAUAAUUAUGGUAUCUGGACUGGUCCAUUCAGAAGGAACAUUAUGGCAGAGGAUUAAAACCCUUACACGUCCGGAUUCAAGCUGGGGACCCAAUAGCAAACGUCACUGGCAGACGUACAAAGUAUAUGAAUACAGAGGAGGCGUUGUGGACAGAGUCCGGGUCAAUUUGCUGGGGAACCGUCACCAAUAGGCAAGAGAACUAAGGAAGACAAGAACUAUAAAUAGGUUUGGUGAAAUAAAUGGUGACUGAUAAACUACGAGAAACACAGAAACAACGAAACGGUUAAACUACUGGAAAAAGUCGUGAUUUUAUCUUUGGUCAAUUUCAGGAAAAACGCAAACAGGCAAAUAAACAACUGAAUAAAAUCACAGAUAUUAUUUGCUUGGUAUGGAUAAAAUACAUUUUGCAUAAAGGAUCAUGAUUGAUCAUGAUGUU
rnacentral:misc_RNA from 1 species